GACGAACGCUGGCGGCGUGCCUAAUACAUGCAAGUUGAGCGCUGAAGGUUGGUACUUGUACCAACUGGAUGAGCAGCGAACGGGUGAGUAACGCGUGGGGAAUCUGCCUUUGAGCGGGGGACAACAUUUGGAAACGAAUGCUAAUACCGCAUAAAAACUUUAAACACAAGUUUUAAGUUUGAAAGAUGCAAUUGCAUCACUCAAAGAUGAUCCCGCGUUGUAUUAGCUAGUUGGUGAGGUAAAGGCUCACCAAGGCGAUGAUACAUAGCCGACCUGAGAGGGUGAUCGGCCACAUUGGGACUGAGACACGGCCCAAACUCCUACGGGAGGCAGCAGUAGGGAAUCUUCGGCAAUGGACGAAAGUCUGACCGAGCAACGCCGCGUGAGUGAAGAAGGUUUUCGGAUCGUAAAACUCUGUUGGUAGAGAAGAACGUUGGUGAGAGUGGAAAGCUCAUCAAGUGACGGUAACUACACAGAAAGAGACGGCUAACUACGUG
rnacentral:rRNA from 1 species